rnacentral:lncRNA from 1 species
AAAAAUACAAAAAACUAAAAUAUUAUUAACUUAAUAAAAUCAUCCACUACAUAAUCAUUCAUUAUCUUUACAAUUAACCAUCUAAAGCUACCACAGUUCUUCAAUCAAAGUAUAUAUCUACAUAUAUAGAAAGAGUAUACUUCAUAAUUCCGUCCCUCGUCUUCCGUAAGUGUAGCACAAAAAUUUGAUACCCAGUAUUCUAAGGCAUGUCGUAGAAGUAGUCUUCCUAUACAUUUAAAAAUAAUAGCAAGUCAGGAAAAUGAAACAAAUAAGUCACCAGAGGCACUUAGUGCCAAAAUUAAUACACAAAGACAAUAGAGUUGCUACGUGGUACUAAUGUACACCGUAUUGCUUAUAAGCAGAAAAAGACAAAUUGGCAAUCACAAUAUCAUUUGCUAAAAAUCCAAAUAGGCAAUCACAUCUCUAUGGAUGUGUCCAUAUGCAUGAAGAUAAACAAGAGCUUUAAUGUAAGGAAUAUACCUCACAAAUUAAUACUUAAUUUAUUUUUAUAUACCUCACAAAUUAAUGUACGGAAUAUUUGAAACUAUACUAUCAGAAUCCUUCCUUUAUAAGAUGGAUCUAAUUGGUUGGUUACUCGCCACUCCUUGAGCCUACCACAUAAACUAACAUGUGCGACAUUGAACUAUCAUCAUCAAUCAUCAUCAUCAUGGCCUGGAGACUAGCUUUCAGAAUUCUUAUGUUGGGAUUUAGUACUUACAGAACUAAUAAAAGACACAAGUUUAACUUUCCUUGCACAUAUUAGUGUAGACAAAUGUUUAACUUUUUAAUUACUACCAUAGUGCUUGCAAGAAAAACAGAUUGAUCACGAAACAUUCUUUAGGUUGGAAAACACAAAAUCUACAUCACCCAAACUAAAAGGCAUUACGAAAUUGACAUAGUCCAACACAAACUAACUUUAAAAUCCCAUAAUCUCAGGCUAAAUUCAAUUGUUCACCAAACAAUGUUGAUUAUCACACAUAUCAGAAACCUAGUACAAUAAGAAUGCAUUUAAUUUAAAAGCAUUUCACAAAAACAGAAUUUUUUAAAAGUAUAACAUUUUGAGUUAGAACUUAAUAUAUGGUGAAGGAGCAAAUAGAUAGCAAUCAAGCACAAACUUGAAGAUCUUACCAUAGAGGAUAAAUAAAUCUUCAACCAAAUUAUCAUGUUGGCGAAGGUUCACUGAAAGAGCAUUGGCCACCUGAAGUGAAGAAGCAAACUCCCGCAAAAACAAUCUACACCUCUGGCCCCUGUCUAACGAGUAAUGACUAUAACUCUAUAAUAUGUAGACCCACCNNNNNNNNNNNNNNNNNNNNNNNNNNNN